GGACGGCCCCUUGAUCUCCAAUGAAGAUGCGUAGAUUUUAAAUGUCGUCAAUCCAGAGGCGAUUAUUCCAGCUCUCAAACUCAAGUCGUGCACCACCGCUGCAACUGAAGCUCUGCCACAUACAGAAAUAACUUGGAAGCUCCACGCAAAACCCACUUAAUUGGGUUCUGCCUCCACUGGUUUUUCCACGUGUGGCAUACGUAAAGUCCAUGCCCGCAAAUACGCCAUCCCGAAGGGCUUAAACAGUUGCUUGGGUCAACUCAGAAGCUUGUCCCUUUGGAGUCGAAAUGAGGACCACUUCGUGAGUAUUGCUUGGGGGGCUCAAUGCUGGCAGCAUCUGAUUUGCCUUGCUCCUAGCCAUUUCAUUUUAUUGUGCUGUAUAGAAUAACGGAUGCUCAAUGCACAUGUACAGAUGUACAGCCACAGCACGUUGCCAUACUCCAAUCAGCAGUAUCAUCACCGCAGAGAUGGAGCGUCGAAAUCGGCUGGCGUGGAGUUGUCAAACCAAUGUAACAAUACAUGGAGUGGAAAUGGAUUGGGGAGGUCUUGAUCCAGCAGUGGAUAGAGUAUGGCUGAUGACAACGAAAAUCAUCUACACAUUUUCAUGAUCAUUUUUUUUUUUUUACAAAUCUAAUUGGUAUAAUAUAAGGAAGUGAAAGCAUUUGUUGUUACAAAAAAAUGUCAUGAACAUCAAAACGGACACCAAAUUGAUGUUGGGAGAGCCUUGUUUCUUUCUGUCAAUCUCCCAUUUUGCAGUGGCGAUACGGGUUUUCCAAUCUCAGGUGAUGCAAUGCAGGUGGAUCAAUUGACCAUUGAAAAGUACAAGCAGUAUGCAAUGGUAACGCAGCAGUGGCAAAAGCAGCCACGAUACCAGUUCAAGAAAGCUGCACGGACUCUGAAUGUGUCCAUCUGGUGGUGGAGAAACUCUGGGGGAAGCUCCUGCCAACGCGUUACACUUUCUCAAUCCACCCGCGCGCAUUUUCCUGAGGAUGGAAAACGCGAGGUGAGUUUCUUAGCCUACCUAACCCAGAGCUCCGUGCCGCCGCUGCUGUGCGGCCGGGCUAAUGUCUGAUGGUGCCAUUCAACUGGACAGGUCCAAGUUCAGAUUUUGGAUCAGGAUAAUGGGAGCUCCACACCGAUUGUCUGCAGGGAGGCAACGAUUGGCAACCCAGUCGGACAGAGCUCUCAGAAACAGAGCAGGUGUCGGCCAGCACCCAAAAUCGCGAAAUUAGGUUCUCAAUCCAGGCCCAAAGGGCCUUGUCUGUGAGUAAGGCAUGUUCGUUAGCUUCCUGUUGCCCUGUGUUUUCGACUGGAAGUUUCAGCACUCUCCUGAGACCUUGAAAGCUCUGCUCCAAAUAUUUGUUCUGCGGAGGGCCCAUGUGCGCAUAGGCAGCUUUCUCUGCAAAUAAAGAAUUGUUAAGAAGUCAGUACAAUGCAAAUACUGUGCAACUUCAAAUAACACUUCAGCACGAGAACAUACAAUCUGAGCUACAUCACUGUGACGUCAACUAAAACAAUGUUGGUACGAUGUUUAACGUCAGCUUGUGUCGCGAAAUUACAUCCUUUACACAAGGGGGCCAGAACUAGAGCCGAAUGCACGAUCGACAACAGCAGAUCAAUUGUUUUAAGCACUGCACGUCCCUGCCAACUACUGCGGCACAACUCCACUCAAUGUACAGCGGUAGAGGCGUCGCCGCUUGUUGCAGAAGUUCGCGGUUCAAAUCCAUCGGCAGCCCUAGUCACUACCGUGGGUAUAUUAGCCGUAAAAAUACGCGCCGUCUGCUUCACAGUAGACGAUACAAAUCGUGUGGUGUCAUUCGCAAAAUAAUAACUUUGUAUUAUUGCAAUGUAUAUAUGCAUGUUGAACUUCUUGCCCACCGUACGUAGCUAACCGUGCUAAUCGGAGGUUCGGCGGAAGGACAACGAACUAAACACAAAAAGCAGUGCUAAAGAAAUAAGUUUUCCAUCAUGGCCCCCUCCUGUAAACAUUUGGCGGGACCCUCCUGAAACAGAGUCGCGAGACUCGGCGAGGCUCACCUUUGGUAAACAACCGUGAGACAAAAAGGCAUAGUUAAAAAUACGUGAUCAAAAAUAACGUACGAAAUACCUCACCUUUCGUCAUCGGUUGCCCGUCCAAGAAAGCCAACGGGCAAACCAUGAACAACACCUCCGCCACGGGGCGCCAGCGAACGAGCAGGCGGACGGACCAGGCCCCUGGUCGGAGAGGCAGCCGCAGCGGGGGUCGGUACAGGGUCACGAGCAGGUCCCCGCGCACGGGAGCGUCGUACGAAGCGGCGAUCACGCCGGCGGGGUCCAGCCACACCACCGUCACGGUGACGUUAGCCCCCGGUACCCAGUGCUGCACGGCCACGGGCUGCUCCCACGGGCCCAGCAGCCCCCCAAAGUUUCUGAAAACCCUUUCCUUGGGGUCCCAGUCUGUCCCCACCUGCGGAAAACAACGUGCGAGUAACUUCCCACUCAAACUAGCUUGUGACGAUGGCGCAAGUCCCCCACAUCUCAGAAUCAGUUCGCAGGCUUUUCACCAUCACACCGUCGCCAAUAAUGUCCCCUUCUGCGUAGCACAUGAAGAAGGAUCAUUGCCCAAAACGUCACCUAACAUAUAUUUCCCUUUAAAGGCCACAGUGCUAUUGACAAAUGUGUCGAGUUUUUAGCCUUGGUGGUGAGUGUACUUUCACCUCCAUCUUCUGCAGCCGGGGUAACAGAGUGGAGUUGUACACUUUGUAGUGGUUGCUUGGGUACGCCCAGGUUUCCAGAACUUCCUCGUGGCGGGAGGCUGAGUGUGACGCUCUCUGCUGCACCAAGAUACCCUGGAAUCGGUCGGCUGAGAAGUAAAUGUGGGCAGCUGUGGGAUGCCCCACUGGCUCGUAGCUGCGGGCACAAGAGCAGUGAAAAUACGAGGAAAUAAAACAUCUUGCAGUAAAACAUUAAAUUCUGUCAUCACAUUAUUAUUUAUUAAUAAAUAGUACAAAGCGUGUAAGUGUGUGUAAACGUAUUCAAAGCAGCUAUUGUCCGUGCUCAUAUAUGUUAGUGGCCCUGAGAAUCUAGCGGAAAUUCCACACUCUAAAUCUCCUACGGCCGACAGAGUUGACCAUCGUUGAGAAGGAGCAAUGGGAUCGCCUCACGUGCACAAGCCAGGCGGACAUUGCGACAUUGCGGCAUUGCGGGACCGUGAGGGAUGCCGAUGACCCCGUGGCGGCCCUCAUCCAUCGUGGCUGCCGCUGGCGAUGACGACGAUGAUGACCUCACCUGCACAGGCUGCUGCCGGAUCGUGGCGUUUGGUGCGCGUUUUGAGCGAGGCCGAGGCGGAAGAGGCCCUGGUAGAUCGUGAGGGCGGCGUCGCCGAGUGAUGCCGACGAGUCCGUCCUCUCGUCGUACGCAUUUUCCCAGUAGGCCUGCAGAGACGGUCCGCUGGGCGGCGGCGGCCCUCCGAACAGAGCCGCGUCCAAACUCGUGAGCACCCCCUGGCUCACCACUGCCUCAAAUUUACGGGCAAAAAAUGUCGGGCGUGUAAGUUGCUGCGAAUGCAAACAAAAGGAAAGGAAAGAAACGGUGCACAAACUUAAUAUUCAGCAAGUAAUUAGACGAAUCGCUCAAGAGUUAAAAAACACGUGACACAUUUGACAAGAGAAUAGACCAAUGUUGAUUGCUGAUGUAAUAAAAGAUAAUGAUGUCCAGUGCUAAAUCGUAGUUCAUGCAAAUUUAAUCUCACAAUCGCUUCGGAACCAGAGACGAGCUGAAAGGCAGCCAAGCGCUGAGCCCACGCCAACAUUUUUUUUUUUUACCCACGUGACUUUACCGAAUAGAACCAAAGAGUAUGGAUCCUUGCAGUCACGAAAACUUCAAAUAUAGAAAUCUAGAAUUGCACAAAGCUCUGCAGCCCUCUACGUAUGAAUGUACUUUCAGCCAAAAAAUAAAUGUGAUGGGAAAAAAUGUGUCUGCAAAUUAAGACUAAAAUUGACUACUUUAAACUAGAAGGCAGCACGGCACUGCUUUCUCUGCAUGCUUAGAGUGCAUGUACCUUUAGAAGCACAUUCCAUUUUUUUGGAAAAGUAAUAAACACACUUUGUGAUUUUAAAGGAAGCUGCAACCCAUAAAACUGCUCUCAUUUCUCAGAUACACACCUGGGCUGCAAGCCCUGGGCUGUCUGACAAAAACUUCGUUAUUGAGAUAUACAAAAAGUAAAGUAAUGGUCAAGCUUUGCUACCAUAGCUCACUCGAAAGACGUCACCGCAUCGGCACUGCAUAAGAAUGAAGGGGAUCGACAUCACGGGGGCACGGUGCUUAAACUUGCCGCUGGGCAGGCCAGGACAAUGCCGGUUAGCUGAAUUUCUACAAUAGCUUUCCGUUUCCGAGCCACGUGUCCCUCUUUAAGCACGUGGAAGAUGUACGUAUGUAGAACUUAAAUCGCAUCGUACGUAGCCAACCGUGCCGAUCGGAGAUGUGGGGGAAAAAAUUACUUUGAGAUGCAGUUUCGAUUAUUUAGGUGGUACGAGAGAUUCAAAAUCCUUAUCCUUGUGAGCACGGGACAUCAAUAGCCUCUGUCUAAAUUGAAUAGCACGUACCUGGAAUCUUGGCAAGUCGUGCAUCUUGAAAUCGUUUGGGGAACAGCCACACCAGUCCACAAUGUGUUUGUACUGGCACUUGCAGCCCAACUUUCUAUUCCAGUUCGUCAUGCGCAGGUUGUUGUCAACCAGUGUGGCACAGUGCUCGCUGUUCACCAGCAAGGUGUGGAAGAACGACUGUGAACGGCAACAUAAAUCACGGUGGUCGUCGUAUCAUUGGCUCGCACUACAGCCAACAAAUAACGGUUAUUCAACAGAGCUGUUGUUCGUCUAUGGCACGGUGUUUCUCAAACUUUUCUGGCCCGCGAACCGCUCCGCUCAGCCGAUGCAAACAUUUCCGCGGACCACCCAGCCCACCGACCCCUGGUGACAAAACGCAUUCGCUUCUCUCUCUCUCUCUCAAUGCCAGUAAGACAAAAUGAUUCAUAUUACUGGAACAUAAACACUUUUUUUUUUACGCAGCUAUAAGGAUUUUUUUUAGGGGAGACAUUUAGAUCUUAGGGUUUAGGGCAGUUUAAUCAGGGUUGCUUACUUAACUUUAUUUUAAAAUCAAAUGUCAUAAGUGAAAUGUUAAUGUUCGAAACAAAAGGUAUAAACAUUGUCAUUAUUGUCCGGAUUAACCUGCAUUUGCAUCACAGCCCCGCGGAUCACCUGGAGGACUGUUGCAGACCACUGCUGCCCACGUUGAGAACCACUGGUCUCGCAAAAUAACCACGCAGAGGAGGGCGCAAGUCACCGUGCCAUUGAUACCUCAAAUUAAACAACAAAUGUCUUUAAAGGAGGAGCACGUGCACGAAAUGUAAUAUGCUGUAGACGUGAUUGUGCAUUACCUCUGCUGGUAACAGGGCGAAGGCGUAGAACUGUUUGAGCUGAGACACCAGGCGGGAUUUGGAGUGAAUGAUGUAGGACACAAAUUGGCGGGUGACCGCAAACCAGUCCGAGCCGCCAUCGAUGGCAAUCCCUGCCGGCAUUUUGCGUUCUCCUACGCGCCACAUGUGUUCAUCGCAUUCGUGGAACACUCUGUUCAGGCCCUGUUUUUUAAUGAACCUGUGGAGCAAAUCAGCAAGUUUACAUGUCCGUACCUAUCCACUGAGAGUGUAUUUGUGUUCUUUCAGCAUGCCGCAUUCUUUCAACAUUAAUCAUAACAUUUAUUUACAAAACUUCAUCUCGAAAAUUGACAUCAAACAAAUAUGCCACUGCUAAUAAAGAUGUAUAUCCCGUUAAAACGAUGUCAUUAAUAUAGAGUACGUACAGACAUUACAAUUAACCAGUGUAAGCUCUAGAUUGCUACGUCAUUACAUUGCAAAAAAGUAUCCAUCAACAUGUCUUAAGAGAGAAUUGGGCCUUCUUCGAUUUUCUGAUGACAUCAUCUGCAACCAAUGAAAUUGAAUAACAGGAAAUUAUUCCAUAUUGCCAGCUAUGUACAUGGCUCAAGCACUUACGUGUUGUGUUUUUGUAAUUUGUGCUUUUGCACCACUGCCAAUCCAGUAUAUCACACAACGGAUUUCUAUUUAAUAUCCACAAUAUUGCACAUUAUGAAGAAACCUAAUCUUCAGUCAAAGGGACCAUUCAAAUUUGUCUUGGCAACAGAUGACAAAGGGAUUUUAAAAGUUAAAUGAAUAUGUACAAAACAAGAUCAUACCUGGCAACCCCCUAUCAGUGCCUACCGUAUUACAGAACAAUUCAGACCUAAUUGGUCAUUCCAUGCCCUUAUAAAUCUCACCAUAUGGACCUAAAAACAACAUUUUUCUGAACAAGAAUACGGGUAAACCGUAUGGGUUGACAGGUAUACAAUAUACUCUACUAUGUAAAGUGUAAGGCGUUUGAUGAAAGGAAUAGUUUUAUGAAUAAUGAUCAUCAACACACUUACUUUUCAGUUUCUCGGCCAUGAGAUUUAAGGAAAUUCUUGUCUUUGUAUUUGGUGAGGAAGGCGACCAGUUCAUUAUUGCUUCUAAAAAAAAUAAUGUAAAAAAGCAGCAUAAAACAUUUUUUUAUAUUUUAAAACAUAAGCAGACUGAUUUAAUUGAUAACAUUUCAUAUUUACACGAUUUCAAAUGAACGGUUGAUGCGCAUCAUUCAGCACUGCUACACAUGCCUCCUUAACUGACUCAAUGUCAGUUUAUUCUCCCACAAUCCACCAAGACAGUUCGUCAUAGCAUUUUGUUGUACUGUACUGUGUUGCCUCACCUUUUACACACGAGAGCUGAAGCUCAGGCAUUUGGCAUACAGGCCAAAAGUGCUUUGUGCUGUCUACAGAGAUGAUGUAACAUGGAUACAUUUUACCCUCAUAUGCCUGUUCAGCUAUGGACCACAAUGGGCAUAGAGUGGUGGCCAGCCAACAGGAGUGGAAAUACUGAACUGUGGGAAAAGAUAAUGCAAGUUUGUUCAUGAGAAGUCCAAUGAGACUGCCUGCCAUACGAGCAUUACGCAACCACGGGACAGAGGCGCGUGCACGUGUACCGCUCAAAACGAGACGACGCACGGCGCCGUACGAACCGAAUUGGGUAGUCGGAGCCACUGAGGUUGAUGAAAAAGUCCCACGGCCAGUCGUCCAUGGCCAUCAGAUCAGACAUGGCGCGAAGGUACAUGGUGAGGAGGCUGGCGCCCCCCCAGAUGGUCGACAUGCGCCAGGACGUCACGCGGACGUUCUCGUAGCGCUGGGCAAGUACCAGCACCUGCUUGUAGAGCUUUUAAAUGAACCUGGGCCACCCUGUGCACAAGAGACAACACAGCCAUGAAGACAACACAGAGGCACAACUGUGAAGACAACACAGACACAGAGCCAUGAAGACUGCACAGAGACAGCGAAGAAAAGACGAGAGACGUUCAACAAAUAUGAACUCAUCUCAUUCAGAGCGCGAACGUGCAUUAACGAUGUAGCCGGUGCGAAUCUAACGGCUACAGACAAUCCGACUAAAUUUGAGUAUUCUGCUCGUUGAAGUUUGUAUGCAUAUAAACAGUAACACAGUUAAUCUAAAAAGAAACCAACUGGUGAUGUUUCCUAUUUUGCGUUACCCUCCUGAGCCCCACUGGAUUUCAUAUUUCAAAUAAGUGACAAGGGGGAGGGGGGAAUGGCUCAGCUACAUGUGGCUGUGAUUAUUAUCGUAACGCAUUAAAACAAUCCGUCGAUCCGGAGGGCUUUUGUGGCAUUGCCGUGAGAGCCCAUCUAUUAUUUCACGAGUUAUUUUCACAGCUACGCCUACCGACAACGAGUGAAACGGCAUGUUGGCAGUCCGUCGGGGGUUAGGUGACUUCCCGCACGAACGCAACAUUCACAUGUGGUACAGCCGAGAGCACUGUCCUGUAUUCACACAAGUCCGCUCAACUUGUCACAUGUGGGGUUCAGGGCAAAAACGAAAAUGUUUACUCAUGGCUUAUACUUCGGAACUGCAUUUAAAACUUUGCACCUUCAAUGCUUUGUUUCAGCUGCUACUUCUACUGUGCAUGGAGUUGAUAAAUGAACAGCUUUAGAAGUUUGGGUGUUAAACAAACCCGCGGAUGGUAAAGAGUGAAAAAUUUGAGAAAAUGCACCAAAUUGAACCUUAGAACCGCACCAAGCCUCAUCACACCUGGCCUCAUCACACCUGGCCCUGUCACCUGACUGCGUCACACCCUGGCCACGUCACAGCUGGCCCUGCCAGCUGGCCGCAUCACACCUAUCAUCACACCUGUCAUCACCGCUGACUGCGUCACACCUGGCCGUGUCACACCAGGCCGCACCAGAUCGAGAUGUUACACGUGCCUCUUGCUGCAGAGGCAGCGCAGCCAACCGCUGCGACUGCGGCAAGUGAACUGCCACGGUGGGAGGGACACUACGACUCCUUGACAAGUCGGGCGCAACAGUGGCAGCAGGCGCAGCUGUGGCGUGCAGCUGCCUCUCUUGCCUACCUUUAAG